UACGUAGGUGGCUAGCGUUGUCCGGAUUUACUGGGCGUAAAGAGCGCGCAGGCGGUCGUUCAAGUCGAGUGUGAAAGCCCCCGGCUCAACUGGGGAGGGUCACUCGAUACUGAUCGACUCGAAGGCAGAAGAGGGUAGUGGAAUUCCCGGUGUAGUGGUGAAAUGCGUAGAUAUCGGGAGGAACACCAGUGGCGAAGGCGACUACCUGGCCUGUUCUUGACGCUGAGGCGCGAAAGCGAGGGGAGCAAACGGG
rnacentral:rRNA from 1 species